rnacentral:rRNA from 1 species
CGGCGGCUUACCAUGCAGUCGAGCGGAACGAUGGUAGCUUGCUACCAGGCGUCGAGCGGCGGACGGGUGAGUAAUACUUAGGAAUCUACCUAGUAGUGGGGGAUAGCACGGGGAAACUCGUAUUAAUACCGCAUACGACCUACGGGAGAAAGGGGGCAGUUUACUGCUCUCGCUAUUAGAUGAGCCUAAGUCGGAUUAGCUAGAUGGUGGGGUAAAGGCCUACCAUGGCGACGAUCUGUAGCUGGUCUGAGAGGAUGAUCAGCCACACCGGGACUGAGACACGGCCCGGACUCCUACGGGAGGCAGCAGUGGGGAAUAUUGGACAAUGGGGGAAACCCUGAUCCAGCCAUGCCGCGUGUGUGAAGAAGGCCUUUUGGUUGUAAAGCACUUUAAGCAGUGAAGAAGACUCUUCGGUUAAUACCCGGAGACGAUGACAUUAGCUGCAGAAUAAGCACCGGCUAACUCUGUGCCAGCAGCCGCGGUAA